rnacentral:rRNA from 1 species
GUCGAGAAUUUUUCACAAUGGGGGCAACCCUGAUGGAGCGACGCCGCGUGGAGGAUGAAGGCCUUCGGGUUGUAAACUCCUGUCAUGCGGGAACAAGCAAGUGAUAGUACCGCAAGAGGAAGAGACGGCUAACUCUGUGCCAGCAGCCGCGGUAAUACAGAGGUCUCAAGCGUUGUUCGGAUUCAUUGGGCGUAAAGGGUGCGUAGGUGGUGACGCAAGUCUGGUGUGAAAUCUCGGAGCUUAACUCCGAAAUUGCACCGGAUACUGCGUAACUCGAGGACUGUAGAGGAGAUCGGAAUUCACGGUGUAGCAGUGAAAUGCGUAGAUAUCGUGAGGAAGACCAGUUGCGAAGGCGGAUCUCUGGGCAGUUCCUGACACUGAGGCACGAAGGCCAGGGGAGCAAACGGGAUUAGAAACCCGUGUAGUCC